AACGCAUAUUGCGCCCGAAGCUUCGGCUUAGGGCAUGCCUGCCUCAGCGUCGUUUUGACACCCUCGCUCCACACUAUCCAGUGAAGCAAUCUGACUUGUUUCAGUUGCUUGGGAGCGGAACUGACUCUCCCAUGGCUACGUGCCGUGGGUUAGUUGAAACACAGGGCACGAGCAAGGAACACAUACGCUCCAACUGGACAGGUUCGCAUUGUAUGCGCAACACGAAGUUGAAGCGUGAUCUUUUUAAGUGCCAAGCAGGACGCCAUUAAUUUGGUAUGUUUGACCUGAGCUCAGGCAAGAUUACCCGCUGAACUUAA
rnacentral:misc_RNA from 1 species